rnacentral:lncRNA from 1 species
CGGGUACGGGGGCGUUACAUUUUGUGGUAUCAGAGCAGGUUUAGUCAGUUUUUAGACUAACGUGUUGUAUGUACGGGUUUUGCUAUACAUGCCAUAUAUAAAUAUUGUGAUAGUGUGACAACUUCUGAACUUUUAAAUGAUUUUUUUAUAGUAAAUGGAUCCCGAUCCAGUUGUGGCUAAUGAUGUAGAGAGUAAUGCACCAGCUCUGGCUGAAACGGCAGUGCCAACUGAAAAUCC